rnacentral:rRNA from 18 species
CGUUAGUAGUGGCGAGCGAACGCGGACCAGGCCAGUGCUUCUUGUUCAACUAGCAGAACACUUUGGAAAGAGUGGCCAUAGCGGGUGACAGCCCCGUAUGCGAAAGCGAGACAAGAAGACUCGAGUAGGGCGGGACACGUGAAAUCCUGUCUGAACGUGGGGGGACCACCCUCCAAGCCUAAGUACUCCUUACCGACCGAUAGUGAACCAGUACCGUGAGGGAAAGAUG